AUCUAGCUGACGAGUCCAGAACAGGACGACAUGCGUGUCCUGUAC
rnacentral:hammerhead_ribozyme from 1 species